ACCCUGAACGGUGGAUCACUCGGCUCGCGGGUCGAUGAAGAACGCAGCCAACUGCGCGUCAUAGUGUGAACUGCAGGACACGCUCGAACAUCGACAUUUCGAACGCAAAUUGCGGUCCGCGGAGACACGUCCGGGACCACUCCUGUCUGAGGG
rnacentral:rRNA from 1 species